GAUGAACGCUGGCGACGUGCUUAACACAUGCAAGUCGAGCGAGUGAGUUCUUCGGAACGAUCUAGCGGCGGACGGGUGAGUAACACGUGGGCAACCUGCCUCAUAGAGGGGAAUAGCCUUCCGAAAGGAAGAUUAAUACCGCAUAACAUCGUUGAAGGGCAUCCUUCGAUGAUCAAAGGAGCAAUCCGCUAUGAGAUGGGCCCGCGGCGCAUUAGCUAGUUGGUGAGGUAACGGCUCACCAAGGCGACGAUGCGUAGCCGACCUGAGAGGGUGAUCGGCCACAUUGGGACCGAGACACGGCCCAGACUCCUACGGGAGGCAGCAGUGGGGAAUAUUGCACAAUGGGGGAAACCCUGAUGCAGCAACGCCGCGUGAGUGAUGACGGCCUUCGGGUUGUAAAGCUCUGUCUUUGGGGACGAUGAUGACGGUACCCAAGGAGGAAGUCACGGCUAACUACGUGCCAGCCGCCGCCGUAAAAC
rnacentral:rRNA from 1 species